UACGGGGGGGGCAAGCGUUGUUCGGAAUUACUGGGCGUAAAGGGCCCGUAGGCGGCCAACUAAGUCGGAUGUGAAAUCCCCAGGCUUAACCUGGGAACUGCGUUUGAUACGGCAGGGCUAGAGUUCGGGAGAGGAGAGUGGAAUUCCCAGUGUAGAGGUGAAAUUCGUAGAUAUUGGGAAGAACACCGGUGGCGAAGGCGGUGCCCUGGCUCGCAACUGACGCUCAGACACGACAGCAUGGGGAGCGAACGGG
rnacentral:rRNA from 1 species